UGGCAAAGGUGGAGAGCAUAUGA
rnacentral:misc_RNA from 1 species